rnacentral:rRNA from 2 species
GAGUCUUAAUUGGGCGUUAAGUUGCAGGGUAUAGACCCGAAACCCGGUGAUCUAGCCAUGGGCAGGUUGAAGGUUGGGUAACACUAACUGGAGGACCGAACCGACUAAUGUUGAAAAAUUAGCGGAUGACCUGUGGCUGGGGGUGAAAGGCCAAUCAAACCGGGAGAUAGCUGGUUCUCCCCGAAAGCUAUUUAGGUAGCGCCUCGUGAAUUCAUCUCCGGGGGUAGAGCACUGUUUCGGCUAGGGGGCCAUCCCGGCUUACCAACCCGAUGCAAACUGCGAAUACCGGAGAAUGUUAUCACGGGAGACACACGGCGGGUGCUAACGUCCGUCGUGAAGAGGGAAACAACCCAGACCGCCAGCUAAGGUCCCAAAGUCAUGGUUAAGUGGGAAACGAUGUGGGAAGGCCCAGACAGCCAGGAUGUUGGCUUAGAAGCAGCCAUCAUUUAAAGAAAGCGUAAUAGCUCACUGGUCGAGUCGGCCUGCGCGGAAGAUGUAACGGGGCUAAACCAUG